rnacentral:rRNA from 1 species
UACGAAGGGGGCGAGCGUUGUUCGGAAUUACUGGGCGUAAAGGGCGCGUAGGCGGCGAUCCGAGUCAGAUGUGAAAGUCCUGGGCUUAACCUGGGGACUGCAUUUGAUACUGGAUUGCUUGAAUUCGGGAGAGGAUAGCGGAAUUCCCAGUGUAGAGGUGAAAUUCGUAGAUAUUGGGAAGAACGCCGGUGGCGAAGGCGGCUAUCUGGACCGACAUUGACGCUGAGGCGCGAAAGCGUGGGGAGCGAACAGG